ensembl:lncRNA
GGUGAAAACAGUGACUUCUGAGUGGAAUACUGCUCCAUUUCAGUUGUCAUUGGUGGCCCAGUGCACUAACAAGAACUCCAGGAACAAUUUAGCUCCAGAAAAUAGCUUAAAGGACAUCUUUAGAUUGCUUAUUAGAAGGAUGACAAAGAGGAAGAAGAGCAGAAGAAUGAAUACCAAAUGUACUCCUCUGGCAGGCUGAAUUGGAAUUUGUUUCAAUAGAACUUGGAAAGCCUCUCAGGAAUGACAGAGAGCAGUUGGAAAUCAAAGGAUUUCUAACUAACACAUUGGGACAGUAUCUAAGAAUAUUUUGUAUGAAAACAAAUAGAACCACUGAAAACAGAUAAAUAUAGGGAUAUAGACCGAUUUAACUGAUUAGACUUCUUACAACAAAAUAAGGUCAUUACAAACCAGUUUGAAAUUGACCUCAAAGAAUUUAGCCCAUAAUUUUUUUUUAAAAAGAAACUUAUAUGAUUAUACCAUGCAAAUAAAUGAAGGUGAGGAAUAAUCCAUUUUCUCAACUUCUCAUCUCUCUGCCCUGUUUUUACUAAGUGGAAUGAAAGACAUUAGGAGUAUUUUUCUUAGCAUGUAAAAUAGAAAAAUGAUUUAAAAUAAUGAAUCAUGUCAUUUAACUCUCAUUAAAUGCUAACAAGAUUCUAAUUGAGUUAAUGCAUAGGACUAUGAUAAAAGAAUAGUAAGACAAAGUGCUGAAUUUUGCCAUUUAUCAGCACUCUUGCUGCCCUUCAUGACCAUAGCUAACUUAUUUGUGGGAAACAGAACAAUAAACGUUCUUCCUACUGCAUGAUUUUUGAUAUUGCUGCAAUAAUAGACGAGAUUUCCUGAGGAAAACAGCCUGAUAUGAAUUUUAAGAGCUAGUUCCUGAAGUUUUGACUGCUUCAACUGUAAUAUUUACAGUUAUAUUUGUACUUUUCUGUAUUGAAUUUUCAGUUCCUUAGAACCUCAGCUCUGUGUAACAGGACUGAGACCAUGCAUGUAUAGAAGCUAAAUUGCAAACAGGUUUGUGGGUGCUUCCUGUGAGAAAUUUAAACUUUCAGUUGCACUGUUACAAAAAUAUAUAUGUUUUUAAAUAAUUUCGGGGAAAUAAUGCAUGUUCUUUAUCUCUCCUUGAAAGAUGUUGAAUGUUUGAGAGAGAAAAUUGCCUCUAUAAAAAGC